ACUGCUCCAAGUACGCUGCUCUCUGAAGCAACCUUUCUCUUUCCCCUGGGAGAAAAAAGCCUCCAAGCAGGGUGUAGGAGAGGGCAGAGGGAAUGGCUGCCGAGGGCCCUAGGCCAGCCUUAUUUCUGUGCAGCGGGUUGAAUGGUGUCUCCCAUUCAUGUCCACCUGGAAACUCAGAAUGUGACCUUUUUUGGAAACAGGGUCUUUGCAAAUAUCAUUCAGGUAAGAAUGAAGAUGACAUCAUACUGGGUUAAGGUGAGCCUUUUUCUUUUCUUUUCUUUUCUUUUCUUUCUUCUUUCUUUCUUUUUUUUUUUUUUUGAAACAGAGUCUCACUCUGUCACCCAGGCUGGAGUGCAGUGGCGUGAUCUCGACUCACUGCAACCUCCGUUUACCAGGUUCAAGUGAUUCUCCUGCCUUAGCCUCCAGAGUAGCUGGGAUUACAGGUGCCCACCACCACGCCCAGCUAAUUUUUGUAUUUUUAGUAGAGAUGGGGUUUCACCAUGUUGGCCAGGCUGGUCUUGAACUCCUGGCCUCAAGCGAUCCUCUGGCCUCAGCCUCCCAAAAUGCUGGGAUUACAGGAAUGAGCCACCAUGCCCAGACCAAGGCGAGCCUUAAAUCCAGUGUGAGUGUCCUAAAGAAAGCUAGAGAAGGACCUAGAGACUGUGAGGAUAGAGGUCGACAUUGGAGUGAUGCAGCCGCGAGCUAAGGAACUCCAGGAGCCACCAGAAGCUGGAAGGAUACUGGAAGUGACAUUUUGAUUUUGGACUUCUGGCCUCCAGAACUGGGAGAGUAACACAUUUCUGUUGUUUUCAGCCAUGCAGUGUGCGGUAAUUUGUUACAGUAGCCACAAGAAACUAAUAUGCUUUGCAAAGCAUGUGUCAAUGAUCCCAUUUUACAGAUAGGAAAACCAAGGCACAGCGAGGGAAAAUUUGCCUAAAAAUCACACAGUUGGUUGGAAGUGAAGCCAGGAUUCCAGCCCAGGUCUGUGUGAUUCCAGCACCUGGACCCUGGACCACCGAGUUCACAGAGAAGGGACAUUUCUGCAGGGGAGAGCUGUGGUCAAAGAGAGGAAUAAAGCUUAGAAAGAGGAAGUUCGUGGGUUGCAAAGUGAGUAAUGGCUGCAUCUGGGAGCUGAUCAAAGGUGGCCAGCCAAGUUGAGUAGCCAGUUCGGUGUAUGAGACUUAACAACACUGUUUCCCCGGCCAUGGAAGGAGUCUUGAGCAGAGUGUGAGAAUGGCCAGGUGGCGGAAGUGUCUGAGAAGAUCCUGCAUCGAUCCAGAAGCAGUGGGAUAAGGAAGGAGCACUGGAUGGAAGUCAGGUGUCCUGGGGCCCAGCGCUGGCCCUGCCACACAUGGUGUGGAAGCAGAACCCUGCUGCCCGUGUCUGGGUGGGCGAGAGACUGGGGAAACACGGCCAGGAAGCAGCCCGGCAGAUGGGGGCUGAGCGCACUGGCAGGGGCAGGAGGAGCUGCAGAUCUUUUCUCAGUUGAGCUUCAGAUGAGACCACAGCCCCAGCCAGCUUCUUAAGUGCAGCCUCAUAAGAAACCGUAAGCAGAGAACCAAGAUAAACCAUGCCUGAACUCCUGAUCCACAGAAACUGUGAAAUAACACAUCCCAGAGCCCCCUGCAUCUCCUGGGAGGACGAGGAUGGAUGGAAGCGUGCUGCCAACGCUGGGACACCUGCUUGCUUUCUGGGCAGUGGCCAGGAAAUCGCAUCUGCUGCCAGAAGAGAGCACCUGCACAUCCCGGAGAAGGGAAGGGGACAGAGCCGUGUGAUUCUAGCAGAGGAACACCCAUAGGAUUCCUUCUGUUGUUCCCAAGGUCCAGGCUCCCAGGCUGAGUAGGCAGGAAGGAGAAUGUGUCUUCACACAGGAAGCCUCACUGCCCAGAACAUGGGACAGAUCUAGCUGGAGCUGUGCUCAAACAGCUGUGGAGGCAUUAUAAAUCUCUCUCCCCGAGAUGAGGUUCAGAGGCUCUUGACAUGCCCUGCUAAUGGUAAAUCUUCCAGUGCCCACAGAGCAAGCCCUGGACUCUUAGAGCAUCAAGGUGAGACUGCCUGCCCCCCUUAAGCCUGUUAAUGGCAUCAGUGAUGUAUUCCCCUCCAAAUGUGGAAGGCUGCCUCUUUCUUCAUUGGAAGCAUCAAGGGAGUUUUAACUGUAAAACAGACUGUGCUUCAAAUCCCAUCUAAAUGCCUCAUCCUGAAGCUCUGACCUGCCACUUUUCUGCAAAUGACACUGGGUGAUUUGAAUGGGAUUAGAUUGGACAGUGGCCCCUGGCUGUUGUUUAAGUUUGUGUGGGUUUUGUUGUUUGUUUGUUUUAAUGCAACCUGUCUUUAAAUCUUCACUUUCAAAAAAAAAAAAAAGUGGUCAUUAGCCUUAUUUUUUAUUUAGAGGAUGUGAAGUCAGAAGUUCCCUUCCCUGAUUUAUUACCUCAUAGGUUUAUGACUUUGAAGAAUCAUUUCAUCUCUUUUAGUUUCCUCAUCUGUAGAAAGGUGAUUGUAAACUCUUUCUUAUCGGCUGGAUACAAAGAUGAAAUGAGAUAUCCU
rnacentral:lncRNA from 10 species